AGGCAGCCUCUUUGCCUACAAUAUAAACAAAACUAUGGCAUCGGCGGUGUUAUUUUGCUCGGAUAAGAAAUCAUGCUACGGCUCCUUCAGAUCGGCGGAGAGAUUCUCUCUUUGAUGUUGGUCUAAUAAGCUUUAACACAUU